rnacentral:rRNA from 1 species
CCAAUAGCGUAUAUUAAAGUUGUUGCAGUUAAAAAGCUCGUAGUUGAAUUUCGGGGUUAGUAGGCUGGUCAUGCCUCUGGUAUGUACUGGUCUCACUGAUUCCUCCUUCCUGAUGAACCGUAAUGCCAUUAAUUUGGUGUUGCGGGGAAUUUGGACUGUUACUUUGAAAAAAUUAGAGUGUUUAAAGCAGGCUCACGCUUGAAUACAUUAGCAUGGAAUAAUGAAAUAGGACGGCAUGGUUCUAUUUUGUUGGUUUCUAGGAUCACCGUAAUGAUUAAUAGGGAUAGUUGGGGGCAUUAGUAUUCAAUUGUCAGAGGUGAAAUUCUUGGAUUUAUUGAAGACUAACUACUGCGAAAGCAUUUGCCAAGGAUGUUUUCAUUAAUCAAGAACGAAAGUUAGGGGAUCGAAGACGAUCAGAUACCGUCGUAGUCUUAACCAUAAACUAUGCCGACUAGGAAUCAGACGAUGUUAAUUUUUUAAUGACUCGUUUGGCACCUUACG